GUGCUCGCUUCGGCAGCACAUAUACUAAAAUUGGAACGAUACAGAGAAGAUUAGCAUGGCCCCUGCGCAAGGACCCCCGAUUCCUUCCCCAGAGGCAACCACCAUUA
rnacentral:snRNA from 1 species